rnacentral:rRNA from 1 species
CAGCAGCCGCGGUAAUACAGAGGGUGCGAGCGUUAAUCGGAUUUACUGGGCGUAAAGCGUGCGUAGGCGGCUUCUUAAGUCGGAUGUGAAAUCCCUGAGCUUAACUUAGGAAUUGCAUUCGAUACUGGGAAGCUAUAGUAUGGGAGAGGAUGGUAGAAUUCCAGGUGUAGCGGUGAAAUGCGUAGAGAUCUGUAGGAAUACCGAUGGCGAAGGCAGCCAUCUGGCCUAAUACUGACGCUGAGGUACGAAAGCAUGGGGAGCAAACAGGAUUAGAUACCCCCGUAGUCCCUGUCUCUUAUAC